AAAUAACUGUAGUUUAAAGGUUACUUAACUAAGAGUACUAGACAUAACUGCCCUCACAGCACUCCUGAUAUGUGACUUAUCACCAGAUCCUGCGAUUGCUGACAGCGGUGCACAGAACAGUCUGGAAUGUUGCUAGGAAUGACACCAAGCCUAGUUCUUGAGAGAAGUAUCACUGAAGUGGCCUAAAGGAUAAAUGAACAUCAACUGGAGGAAACAGCAUGAGGCGGAGGCAGAAUGUAUCAAGGCAAACAUGUGGACAGGCAGAUGGAAAGGAUACUGCAGAGAAGACCAAGAAAGAGAAAUAGGAAGAAAAUGCAGAGUGGGUUGUCAUGGAAUCUUCAAGAAGGAAGCUCAUUGCCUGACCCACUUGUUUCAUAAUGCAAUGAAAUGCUAAAGAAUUUUAACUCCAUAAGGAAAAUCAGGGCAAGACAAUAAAAGAAACAUUAAAUAUUAGUAAAAGUACACUCA
rnacentral:lncRNA from 1 species